rnacentral:lncRNA from 1 species
AUAUAUAUUAUUUACAACAUACUGAGCAAUAAUUUGUAACAUAGUACUUUACUUUCAACAGAACAUCGUGAAAUACUUGUUAAAGGAGGCAAAAGAGAAGAAACAAUCAGCUUUUGAAAUGGGCUGGACAGUCUCAUAUAAAGAGGAAAUCCCACAACAAACCAAUGAGAACGACUGUGGCGUGUUUAUAUUGGAGUAUUCCAGAUGCCUUGCUCUGUCUGAACCUUUGCAUUUUUUGCAAAAAGACGUACCAAAGAUACGAAAAAGGAUCUACAAAGAGCUCUGUGACUGUAUGCUACAUAAAAAAGGGUGAAAUGUGUCCAAUCAUUCAUGGUCAUGUGACCAUGUACAAACAAACCUUGCUGUCCUCUGUGCUUGAAGUCUUCUCUUGAAGGUAGCUUUUGUGAGUUAAGUUACAAGUUUAAAAUGCUUGAAUGUGUGUAUGAAAAUUUGUAUAUUAGUUAAUAAAACACAUUUGCUUUACUUCAGUAGAUGAUUUAAUCAAUUGUAACCAAAAACGGAUAUCAUUUACAAAUUGUGUUAUUUCUAACACACAUGCGCACUGAAUAAUAUAUCCUCUUGUGACACUGCACACACAGCACACAGAAUGUGUACUCACUCACUCCUAUUAAUCUCCACAAUGUUCCACAUUAAAUGUGGAGCUGAAGGCACAUGUCGAACUAUGACUGUGAGUGAAGUCUUACAGUUGAGAUAAAGGUGUCCACACCCCCAAUGUAUGUUACAAAGUGUAAACCAUAACAUAAGCACUAAUUUUUUGUAAUCAUAUCAAGACAUCCCGUUUCAACAAGAUAUGCAUCUGCUAACAGUUUAUCGCUGCACAAAUACAAGUCUCUAGUCAACAUUGACACCCCACUCCACCUCUGGGCCAUCAUCGAGGCGUAUGACGAGGUAGGACACAAGUUGAAACAGGUUCUGCCACAAUCCCAGGAACAGAUACAAAUAGAAGUCACUGAUGUCGAUUUGGCAGUGCACACCUGUGUAGUUCACGUCGCACACACACUCAUAGCUGUUGAUGUAGUUAACACAAAAUCCUCCAUGCAUGCACGGAUCAGAGGCACAUUCAUCCACAUCCUUCUCGCACCUGAAAUA